rnacentral:rRNA from 1 species
GACAGAGGGGGCAAGCGUUGCUCGGAAUUACUGGGCGUAAAGGGCGCGUAGGUGGCCCGGUCAGUCCGUGGUGAAAGCGCGGGGCUCAACCCUGCGUCGGCCAUGGAUACUGCCGCGGCUGGAGCACUGUAGAGGCAGGCGGAAUUCCGGGUGUAGCGGUGGAAUGCGUAGAGAUCCGGAAGAACACCGGUGGCGAAGGCGGCCUGCUGGGCAGUGGGGGAGACCCCUUCAAGCUGACACUGAGGCGCGACAGCGUGGGGAGCAAACAGG